GAAGGGCUGUGUCUUCGCAGCACCCUUGUUCUUAAAGGAGCGCUCAACGGAUCCACUUCCGGCCAUCUUUUUCGGUGCCCAAUCCUCCUUCCCUCAUCGGAUGCCCUCUCACGAGGUCUCUGCACAACUACCUCCGGCUAUGGUCGCCGAUAAGGGGUGGCCGGAUGACCGAUCUUUGCCGGAUUCCGUCAACGUCAUCUCGGGGGAAUCCCGGUGGGAGGCAAUCAGUGCACCAGCUGCAUCCCCCAAGCGACAAAAAGUUGAAGAACCCAUAAC
rnacentral:lncRNA from 1 species